GACAACUAGGAUGUUGGCUUAGAAGCAGCCAUCAUUUAAAGAGUGCGUAAUAGCUCACUAGUCGAGUGACACUGCGCCGAAAAUGUACCGGGGCUAAACAUAUUACCGAAGCUGUGGAUUGUCCUUUGGACAAUGGUAGGAGAGCGUUCUAAGGGCGUUGAAGCAUGAUCGUAAGGACAUGUGGAGCGCUUAGAAGUGAGAAUGCCGGUGUGAGUAGCGAAAGACGGGUGAGAAUCCCGUCCACCGAUUGACUAAGGUUUCCAGAGGAAGGCUCGUCCGCUCUGGGUUAGUCGGGUCCUAAGCUGAGGCCGACAGGCGUAGGCGAUGGAUAACAGGUUGAUAUUCCUGUACCACCUAUAAUCGUUUUAAUCGAUGGGGGGACGCAGUAGGAUAGGCGAAGCGUGCGAUUGGAUUGCACGUCUAAGCAGUAAGGCUGAGUAUUAGGCAAAUCCGGUACUCGUUAAGGCUGAGC
rnacentral:rRNA from 1 species